UGGGUAAUAUGGAAGAGAGCUUGCCUUCAAAUUUCGCUGAUGGGAAUGAGCAACCUGACCCAAACACUUCUCCAGUGGAAGAUGUUUCGGCGGCUACAAAACAAAAGAAGAUGCAGUCAGAGUCCAAAAGGUGCAAGUCGCUCAACAACGUGGAUUUGGGGAACAUUGAAGAGAAUUUCGGGAACAUGGAAGAGAACCCACCUUCUGAUCUGGCUAUUGGGAAUGAGCAAACAUUGCCGAAGUUAGCUAGCAACUUGGACAUGGGGAACAUGGAAGAGAACACGCCUUCUGAUCUGGCCAAUGGGAAUGAGAAAACAGAGCCUAACUCAGCCAACAGCAUGGAUUUAGGGAACAUGGAAGAGAACACGCCUUCUGAUUUGGCAAAUGGGAAUAAGAAAAAAGAGCCUAAGUCAGUCAGCAAGUUGGAUCUGGGUAGCGAGAAAGUGAGCAUUCCUUCUAAUCUCGUCAAUGGAAAUGAGCAACAUGACCUAAACAUUGCUCCAGGUGAAGAUGCUUCAGCGGCUAAGCAACCAGAAAAGAAGCGAUCCAGGUCUAAAAAGCGCAAAUCAGGCAACAACCUGGAUUUGGGGAAGAUGGAAAAGAGCAAGCCUUCCGAU
rnacentral:lncRNA from 1 species